GUGGGGAAUCUUCCGCAAUGGGCGAAAGCCUGACGGAGCAAUGCCGCGUGAGUGAAGAAGGCCUUCGGGUUGUAAAACUCUGUCCUUAUCGAAGAGAGGUGGGUAUGUGAAUAAUGUACCUAUAGGACGGUAGAUAAGGAGGAAGCCCCGGCUAACUACGUGCCAGCAGCCGCGGUAAUACGUAGGGGGCGAGCGUUGUCCGGAAUCACUGGGCGUAAAGGGCGCGUAGGCGGUUUAAUAAGUCAGUGGUGAAAACUGAGGGCUCAACCCUCAGCCUGCCACUGAUACUGUUAGACUUGAGUAUGGAAGAGGAGAAUGGAAUUCCUAGUGUAGCGGUGAAAUGCGUAGAUAUUAGGAGGAACACCAGUGGCGAAGGCGAUUCUCUGGGCCAAGACUGACGCUGAGGCGCGAAAGCGUGGGGAGCAAACAGG
rnacentral:rRNA from 1 species